rnacentral:rRNA from 1 species
AUUGAACGCUGGCGGCAUGCCUUACACAUGCAAGUCGAACGGUAACAGGUUAAGCUGACGAGUGGCGAACGGGUGAGUAAUGUAUCGGAACGUGCCCAGUCGUGGGGGAUAACUGCUCGAAAGAGCAGCUAAUACCGCAUACGACCUGAGGGUGAAAGCGGGGGAUCGCAAGACCUCGCGCGAUUGGGGCGGCCGAUAUCAGAUUAGGUAGUUGGUGGGGUAAAGGCUCACCAAGCCAACGAUCUGUAGCUGGUCUGAGAGGACGACCAGCCACACUGGGACUGAGACACGGCCCAGACUCCUACGGGAGGCAGCAGUGGGGAAUUUUGGACAAUGGGCGCAAGCCUGAUCCAGCCAUGCCGCGUGCAGGAAGAAGGCCUUCGGGUUGUAAACUGCUUUUGUCAGGGAAGAAAUCUUCUGGGUUAAUACCUCGGGAGGAUGACGGUACCUGAAGAAUAAGCACCGGCUAACUACGUGCCAGCAGCCGCGGUAAAAC